GCUGCUUUAGCUCAGUCGGUAGAGCGUCACCUUGGUAAGGUGGAGGUCGCCGGUUCAAUCCCGGCAAGUAGCU
rfam:Granulicatella adiacens ATCC 49175 genomic scaffold SCAFFOLD2, whole genome shotgun sequence.